GACGGGACCCGCACAAGCGGUGGAUGAUGUGGAUUAAUUCGAUGCAACGCGAAAACCUUACCUACCCUUGACAUGUCCGGAAUCCCGAAGAGAUUUGGGAGUGCUCGCAAGAGAACCGGAACACAGGUGCUGCAUGGCUGUCGUCAGCUCGUGCCGUGAGAUGUUGGGUUAAGUCCCGCAACGAGCGCAACCCUUGUCAUUAGUUGCCAUCAUUUGGUUGGGCACUCUAAUGAGACUGCCGGUGACAAACCGGAGGAAGGUGGGGAUGACGUCAAGUCCUCAUGGCCCUUAUGGGUAGGGCUUCACACGUCAUACAAUGGUCGGUACAGAGGGUUGCCAACCCGCGAGGGGGAGCUAAUCCCACAAAGCCGAUCGUAGUCCGGAUCGCAGUCUGCAACUCGACUGCGUGAAGUCGGAAUCGCUAGUAAUCGUGGAUCAGCAUGUCACGGUGAAUACGUUCCCGGGCCUU
rnacentral:rRNA from 1 species